ACACAGGCUCUAGAGCCACCAACCCUUAAAAACAAAAGAGGU
rfam:Monodelphis domestica chromosome 1, whole genome shotgun sequence.